AGUGAACGCUGGCGGUAGGCCUAACACAUGCAAGUCGAACGGCAGCACAGUAAGAGCUUGCUCUUACGGGUGGCGAGUGGCGGACGGGUGAGGAAUACAUCGGAAUCUACUUUUUCGUGGGGGAUAACGUAGGGAAACUUACGCUAAUACCGCAUACGACCUACGGGUGAAAGCAGGGGAUCUUCGGACCUUGCGCGAUUGAAUGAGCCGAUGUCGGAUUAGCUAGUUGGCGGGGUAAAGGCCCACCAAGGCGACGAUCCGUAGCUGGUCUGAGAGGAUGAUCAGCCACACUGGAACUGAGACACGGUCCAGACUCCUACGGGAGGCAGCAGUGGGGAAUAUUGGACAAUGGGCGCAAGCCUGAUCCAGCCAUACCGCGUGGGUGAAGAAGACCUUCGGGUUGUAAAGCCCUUUUGUUGGGAAAGAAAAGCAGCAGGUUGAUACCCCGCUGUUCUGACGGUACCCAAAGAAUAAGCACCGGCUAACUUCGUG
rnacentral:rRNA from 1 species